GACGUAGGGUGCGAGCGUUAAUCGGAAUUACUGGGCGUAAAGCGUGCGCAGGCGGUCUGUUAAGACCGAUGUGAAAUCCCCGGGCUUAACCUGGGAACUGCAUUGGUGACUGGCAGGCUUUGAGUGUGGCAGAGGGAGGUAGAAUUCCACGUGUAGCAGUGAAAUGCGUAGAGAUGUGGAGGAAUACCGAUGGCGAAGGCAGCCUCCUGGGCCAACACUGACGCUCAUGCACGAAAGCGUGGGGAGCAAACAGG
rnacentral:rRNA from 1 species